rnacentral:lncRNA from 1 species
UUUAUAAUUGGAAGAACAAAUACAAUCUCAAAGUCACGAGGCACAAUGAUGAGAAUUAUGACAUUAAAGUUUCUGGUAGUUCUUGUGUUGAUGAUCUGGUACCAGGGCCUUUAGGUGCAUAUCAUUGGAACUUGCUGUCUGGGAAGCUGGAGUGGUCAUGGGUCGAGUUACAUGAAAACGCAACACAAGACUAAGAGCUUUUAUAUGUGGUUUAUAAACACUUAUCGAAUUAAAUAUGCUUCCGCUGUAAACUGUGAAAUAUUGUAACGUUGUAACACUUAUUGUUAAUAAAUGAAAGUUUUAUU